rnacentral:rRNA from 1 species
UAGUCAUAUGCUUGUCCCAAAGAUUAAGCCAUGCAUGUCUAAGUAUAAACAACUUUAUACAGUGAAACUGCGAAUGGCUCAUUAUAUCAGUUAUAAUUUAUUUGAUAGUCUCUUUACUACUCGGAUAACCGUGGUAAUUCUAGAGCUAAUACGUGCAUAAAGCCCGACUGCUUGCGGAAGGGCUGUAUUUAUUAGAUAAAAAACCAAUGCCAGCGAUGGCCCCUGGUGAUUCAUAAUAACUGU